rnacentral:rRNA from 1 species
GGAAACGACUGCUAAUACCCAAUAUGCCUACGGGUGAAACUUUUUUGGCCUGAAGAUGAGCUCGCGUCUGAUUAGCUAGUUGGUGGGGUAAGAGCCUACCAAGGCGUCGAUCAGUAGCUGGUCUGAGAGGAUGAGCAGCCACACUGGGACUGAGACACGGCCCAGACUCCUACGGGAGGCAGCAGUGGGGAACUUUCCGCAAUGGGCGAAAGCCUGACGGAGCAAUACCGCGUGAGGGAGGAAGGUUUUUGGAUUGUAAACCUCUUUUCUCAGGGAAGAAUUUUGACGGUACCUGAGGAAUAAGCAUCGGCUAACUCCGUGCCAGCAGCCGCGGUAAUACGGGGGAUGCAAGCGUUAUCCGGAAUUAUUGGGCGUAAAGAGUCCGUAGGUGGUCAUGCAAGUCUGCUGUCAAAGCCCACAGCUUAACUGUGGAUAGGCGGUGGAAACUGCAUGACUUGAGUGCGGUAGGGGUAGAGGGAAUUCCCAGUGUAGCGGUGAAAUGCGUAGAUAUUGGGAAGAACACCGGUGGCGAAAGCGCUCUACUGGACCGUAACUGACACUGAGGGACGAAAGCCAAGGUAGCGAAAGGGAUUAGAUACCC